rnacentral:tRNA from 1 species
AGUUGAAAAGCGAACAUAUAUUGCGCUUAGUUUCGGCCUAAGUCUUGGAUUUUUCAUCCUUCAACUU